GUUUCACAUUGCCCCCUUUCCUGACCUAAGGAAAGCUUUCAACGAUAGCUCAUCUUGGCUGGUCUAUUUUGGGACACAGAUUUACUGCUCUUUCCGUCACUUGGACAGAUGCUAACCCAGAGUCUGGAGACUAUAAGGAAUUAGAUGACAGCAAUCAGAUUUGUAUUAAAUCCCUGCCAGAUAGAGAAGCUGCUCAUCUGGAUCCAGUCCAAUUCCAGGCCACUUUCCUCUACAAACAUCCACCUGGGAGGAUGUGUGUUGUGACCACCUCCUUCGAAGGGAUGGAGCACGAAACAGGUUUUUCCACCAGCGGCUCCAACAUCUUGGAAUACUCUUCUCUCUGAUGGCAGGAGGCCCUGCCCUGCCAUCUCCUUGGAAAAAGGAGGAAGCUGUCUCUUCUCCAGGGUCUGGAGGAAGAACAGGCAGAACUGGGAAGAAAUUCAGAGGAGAUGCAAGCCGUUCCAGAAAAGAGGUCUGCCUGGAAUAAAUUGGAGGAUUCGUUGAUACAGCAUUUAUUGGCAGAGAUCUGGAGAUGUCUCCAGAUGUCUAUUUUGUAUCAUGGUGAACUGAACACGGUAGUCCCAGUCUGAUCUCAUCAGUGCAGUAUGAAGAGGUACUAACACUUCUCGUGAUCUUAACGCUCUCCCUCUGUUGAGGCAGCCUAGCUUUUUUGCAUUGGCUUUUUUGGCAGCUGCAACACACCGCUGGCUCAAACUUCAGUGAUUGUCCACUGGGACUCCUAGAUCUCUUUCACAGUUAUUAUUGCUGAGCCACUACUGUUGAGCUAUUCUAAACUUUUGCAUGUGGUUUUUCCUGCCUAUGUAUCAAACCUUCCUUUUCUCACCAAUGAAUUGCAUUUUGUUGCACAUUCAAGUC